UAUUGUGCAAUAGGUGAGAUGCCUGUUAUGCAGUACCCAACUGGUUCUUAAGUAUAAACCUUUUUCCCUGGUUUUAGUAUUGACCUAAACAUGUUCAUUUACGUGGAAAACACACAUGCAUAUCUACUCACAAAAACAAUGAUUAAAAGGAAUCCACAAGACUUUGUUUUCCCCCUGGAACCACCCCAAAAGACUACGAGACUGUCUGACGUGUUUCAUACCGAUUGUUAAGCCGUUCUUGGCAUACUGAUUUUGACUGCGGAUAACUCCGUUUACCUGAUCAGGAUAUGGGGCUCACGGCGGGUGUGACCGGUCAACAGGGGAUGCUUACUCCUCCUAGGCACCUGAUCCCACCUCUGGUGUGUCCAGGGGUCCGUGUUUGCCCAACUAUCUAAUUUGUAUUGCUUGUAGGAGUUAUGAGAUUGAUCACUGUUCGUUAUCUUCACCUUGCACUUUGUUUUUUCUCUGGAACCACCCCAAAAGUUACAAUCUCCGCACGGUAUGUAACAAUUUAUGACAUACUGUUGCCAUCCGUAGCAACGUAUGUGACAAUUUGUAACAAAGCGUGGUACGAAUGGCCACGCUAUGUAACAAAAAAUAAUACCGUGUCGUAUCAACGCAAGAGCUUAUUCUGCGUAUGAUAACUUUCAAGUGGAAGCAGGCACCUAAUCCCAUCUCUGGUAUAUCCAGGGAUUCGUUUUUGCCCAAUUCUCUAUUUUGUAUUGCUUGUUGGAGUUCUGAAAUUUGUUCAGUGUUCGUUAUCUUCACCUUUCACGUAGUUCUAAAACUUAGAAAUGAGGAUAACCUCAUAUUUUCAGUAAGCAACAAUUCAUGUCAAAAACUAUACCGUAUAUAACAUUUCCCCGUGACUACUAUCUUCGUUAAAGGUUGAUGUGUUGUUUAUACUGUAUACGAGGCAGUUUGGGACAAUAAAUGUUUGUAACGAACAAAACUUGCAAAUGUCGAGGUCCAGGACAAAGAAUUUUCCUGAAAUAUAUUUUCACUUUUGAUUUGAUGAUGAUAUUUAGGAAUGUCUGUCGAUCGACAAAUAAAGAUAUUGAAAUAAAUCGCCAUACAUUUCAAAUAUUGGAAUAAUUGGAAUAAUUCGUAUGAUUGCAGAAUUUACACAUCAAUACUGAGAAAGAAUAACACUGAUUCCGCGAUUUCAUAACUGAAUCAGGUUUCUUAAACUUUUGGUAAAUUUAUGUUACUUUGGUUUCAAAAGUCCCGUUUAGAGUCAGCAUAUCGUAAAAUCAAUGGUUCUUAAAAUGAUAUAACUUGUAAAUACAACCUAGCUUGACCUCAAAUGAUGUUUGGCGUGUUUCAUAACAAUUGCUGUGCUGUGCAGUUAUUUAGGGAGAUAUUUAAUUGGGCCAAAGUGAAGACCCUUGGCAAUUCUGGAAGUAUGUAUAUGGUAUUUAGCUAUGAUAUUGAUGUUGCAUAUAUAGGGACGAGAAUUUGAAGGACAAAGGAACAUCAAUAUAUUUCGAUUGACACAAUCACUAGUAUAUGCUAUCAAUAUAUUUUAAUUUGUUUUCAUGUCUCUUUUUGUGGGUUUUGUCACCUUAUAUCACGUCUUCUGCCUCAGAAUUAAGUGGCGGUUAUUUUUUUCCAUUCAUCUCACACAAUACUACGUAGUACAUGGUGUAUCUAUUUAUACUCUCAUAACUUCAGAAUAUGUGUCCAAGUCUAUAGAACACAGUAACUAUUGUCAACUUCAUUCUUGACAACUUUGGUUUCAAUUAGUCAUUCGUAAUAAUUCAAGAUUAUACCUCGAUUUCUCCAAAUUUCAAGACGUCUUUGCCUGUAAUAAACUCUUCUUUCACGAAUACUUCAAGCAAACGACAAACUUCACAGGGUUAGUUUUAGUCACGAAAUAUUAAUCCAUGUGGUCAAACUAUGGAAAUGUGAUUCAUUUUAAACAUAGAAUAAAACAGUUCUGUUAUAUUUCUAUUUUACUCUAACUAUAGUGGUAUUUGCAUGCAUCUACUAAUAUGGAUUGAUCAAGUAACUGCCAUGACGCAACAGCUCAUUAUGACGUCAUUUCCAUACCAAUUUGUUUUGUAACUUUAACUAUAAUGUGCACUGUAUUUCUAAUUAUUGAUGUACGAUAUAUUUUAUUUUAUAUCAAUUUUGAUUGAUAUCGAUUAAAUGUUAGAAGAUGUUGAUGUUUUUGUUACGUUCUGAACACGUGUAUUAUGCCAUCUAAACUGCAUUAUAUUGCACUAGCAUUAUAGUGAUUCUCGACUAAUGGCAUAUUUGAUUUUAACAUCUUUGUUCGUAAUAAGUUAAAAACAUGGAAGUCGAUGUAGUAUUUUGAUACACGUUUAAACAAUUUCAGCCCUGGUGGGAAAGUAUGCUGUAGUGGAUAUAUUUGGAAUGAAGCACAAAAUACCUGUACACGUCUGUAUGUAUUAGCAUCCAAGUUAAUACAUACUAGUAAGUUUAUAAUGGAUAUUACAUUCAAUAUAUUUGUAUACUACUCAUAGAUAACACGUUUCUAAAUGAAAUCAUAUUCAAACAUCAUGGAUACCGAUGGGAUGCUUGAAGGUAAAUUGCAAUGUCAUUUACCGUUUUUGAUUAUUUUCUUUGGUUUUUGUCGGUUGCACGGAUGGAUUUUAUGGUUGAACCAUGUCCAUACCCAACGUUCGGAUGGAAGUGUCAAUUAGAAUGCAUCUGCAGUAGCGAAGACUGUCACCACACGUAUGGGUGCAGGAGAACUCCAUCAAAAUGUGCGACUGGAAAGUACGGCAAAUACUGUGAGUUAUCUUGUCGUCACCCAAACUACGGAAAUGAAUGUCAGUUGGUGUGCCAUUGUGAUGAAGUGGUCUGCGAUGCUAUAAGUGGAUGUACGGGUUUAUUGUAUAGUGAUUCUCAUAGUGUGCUUAACAUGUGUUUAACAUAGAACUUCUAUCAUAUAAGGAGCAUUUAUCAUUAAAUGUCUUGUAAAUGAUUAAAAUAAACUAGAUUUCUC